GUGAGGAAUAUUGCGCAAUGGAGGCAACUCUGACGCAGCCAUGCCGCGUGCAGGAAGAAGGCGCUACGCGUUGUAAACUGCUUUUAACCGGGAAGAAACCCCAGGACGUGUCCUGGGUUGACGGUACCGGAGGAAUAAGCACCGGCUAACUUCGUGCCAGCAGCCGCGGUAAUACGAAGGGUGCAAGCGUUAUCCGGAUUCAUUGGGUUUAAAGGGUGCGUAGGCGGAGCGUUAAGUCAGUGGUGAAAUCCUGCAGCUUAACUGUAGACUUGCCAUUGAUACUGGCGCUCUUGAGUGCGCUUGAAGUGGGCGGAAUGUGCCGUGUAGCGGUGAAAUGCUGAGAUAUGGCACAGAACACCAAUUGCGAAGGCAGCUCACUAAGGCGAUACUGACGCUGAGGCACGAAAGCGUGGGGAUCGAACAGGAUUAGAAACCCGAGUAGUCC
rnacentral:rRNA from 1 species